rnacentral:tmRNA from 1 species
AGGUGGCGUGCCGUGGUUGAUCAGUUGGCCACGUUAAAAGCUGAUCAAACAACAACUGCUGAUAAGAGCUUUGCUCUGGCUGCCUAGUUAUAGGUAGUCCCGGCUGAGGAAUCCCCGCCUGAGGAGUCCAGAAGCCGGACAAAAAUUCAGGCUGGUUCCGCGUCAAUACGGGUUACGCGCGGCACGAGAGAGUUGUUACCGGUUGGCGUCGGACGGGCCUUGUCGAGUGAGCCUGCCGACGCGACGGAAUCAAGCGACUAUGCACGUAGAGGCUUCGUCCAAGGUGUCUCAGGACGCGGGUUCAAUUCCCGCCGCCUCCAUCA